rnacentral:lncRNA from 13 species
GUGGACUUUUGAGUUAAUGCUGAAAAUAGUUAAGAUUUGAGGGGACUGUUGAGAAGGGAUGAUUGUGUUUUUAAAUGUGAGAAUGACAUGGAUAUGAGAGUGAUGGGUGGUUUGGAUUUGAGCCCUCACCCAAUUCUCAUGUCUAAUUGUAAUCCCCAAUGUUGGAGGAGGAGCCUUGUGGGAGGAUGAUUAGAUCAUGGACACAGACUUCCCCCUUGCAAUUCUCAUGUGAAUAAGUGAAUAAGUUCUCAUGAGACCUGGAUGUUUAAAAGUGUGUAGCACCUCCCCUUCAAUCUUUCUUCCCCGUUCUCCAGCCAUGUAAGACGUGCCUGCUUCCUCUUCACCUUCUGCCAUGAUUGUAAGUUUCCUGAGGCCUCCCAGCUAUGCUUCCUGUACAGCCUGCAGAACUAAAAAAGAAAGGAAGAAAAAGAAGGAAAAGAAGAAAGAAAAUGAGAGAGAAAGAAAGAAAAAAAGAAUAAAAGAGAGAAAGAGGAAGAGAAAGAGGGUGAGAGAACGGGAAUCUUGCUUUAUUGCCCAGGCUAGAACGCAGUCUAAAAAUGGGUAUUAACAACCUCCUUUAUGCCAAUACAUGUGCUUAACAAUGGAGACAGGAAGGAAUAAGGGAAGAAAAUAACAAACAAGCAGCCAACCAAUAUUUCAUUUAAACCUGUGAAAUGCUAUGCAAUUGCCGAGGAGUGAUUUACUUCCAAUUUUGUGGUCAUUAUUAGAAUAGGUGUGAUGUGAUACUGAGAAAAAUGUAUGUUUUAUGGAUUAGGGGUGAGAGUUCUGUAAAUAUUUAUUAAGUUUACUUAUUUCAGAUCUGAGUUCAAGUCCUGGAUGUCCUUGUUAAUUUUCUGUCUCGUUGAUCUGUCUAAUAUUGACAAUGUAGUGUUAAAGUCUCCCACUAUUAUUAUGUGGGAGUCUAAGUCUCUUUGUAAGUCAUUAAGAACUUGCCUUAUGUAUCUGGGUGCUGCUGUAUUGGGUACAUAUAUAUUUAGGAUCAAAACAAUACUAUAACAAUUACAAACUGGGGGAAAGGCAAACCAUUCUGGGAAAGAAAAAAAUAGCAGCUGCUCUAGAUAUCAUUUUCAGAUUUUGGCUAGGAUUGUUUACGCUUUUUUUUGUUUGUUUUCUUUUCUUUUCUUUUUUUUUAAAUUCUUGGCUGGCUUUGACAGCCCUUCAAGAUUUCAGCUGAUUCCAAACACAGCUCAAUAAAGAUCAUUCCAGAGAUGCUUCA